CUUAACAACUGAGACACCCAGGCGCCCUUCGGCUUGAAAACAAGGUCCACAGGGCACAGGACAGGAGAAGGUUGACUGCUUGGACCAGAGUGUCCCCUGCCCAUGAGGCUGCUCGUGUCAGAAUUAUCCAGGAGGGAGACAUAAACCUCUAUCUCCUUUAAGGCGUUGCAUUGCUGGGUCUGUUGCAACGGCUCAGAGGCAUGCUCAGAUCCUGGAUCUCAGGAGCUGUGAGAUCAGCCCUACACUAGUCUAUACACUCAGCAGGGAGUCAGCUUGAAGAUUCAAUCCCUCUACCCCUCCCCCCAGUUGCAUGUGU